rnacentral:lncRNA from 1 species
GUUAUAAGUUAUAAAUGACAUUGAGGUUUGAUUGUAAAGUCUGGGGAAAUUUGUAUGCGAGAUCGAUAUCAUUUUAACGCUUUAAGUCUCCUGAACAUGGGAAUUAAUUUGAAUAUUCAUUAUGUCGAAAACCUUGUAUCCUUAUCUAGUGAAAUAGUUCAGGCAGUCAGCAUCAUCUUGGUCACGCUUUACGUAGGAGGUUGAUGCAAAUAAAUGUUCGGUCCAAAG